GACGAACGCUGGCGGCGUGCUUAACACAUGCAAGUCGAACGUUUUUUGUGGAAAUUCUUUCAGGAAUGGAAAUGAAAUGAAAGUGGCGAACGGGUGAGUAACACGUGAGCAACCUACCUUACACAGGGGGAUAGCCGUUGGAAACGACGAUUAAUACCGCAUGAGACCACAGAAUCGCAUGAUAUAGGGGUCAAAGAUUUAUCGGUGUAAGAAGGGCUCGCGUCUGAUUAGCUAGUUGGAAGGGUAAAGGCCUACCAAGGCGACGAUCAGUAGCCGGUCUGAGAGGAUGAACGGCCACAUUGGAACUGAGACACGGUCCAAACUCCUACGGGAGGCAGCAGUGGGGAAUAUUGCACAAUGGGGGGAACCCUGAUGCAGCGACGCCGCGUGAGCGAAGAAGGUUUUCGAAUCGUAAAGCUCUGUCCUAUGAGAAGAUAAUGACGUAUCAUA
rnacentral:rRNA from 1 species